CCACAAUUCACACCAUAUUUCCCUUGCCCCAAACUUCUCUCUCUCUCUCACACACACACACAUCUCUCAGGCUUUGGUCACACAAGAUAUCACCCCUAAUUCUGGCACGCCUUCCACCACCGCCACGACUGACACCCGCCGCAGCCGCCGCUCUAUCAUGGUCUUUGUCUACUCACGGAAUAUGUGUUUCUUCUCUUCUUACUUGGUCCUCCAAACCCUCGUGAAAGCUCCCAUUUGAUUGGCCAUUUCACGCUCGAGAAUUCAUUAGUUCACGUCAAAGACCUCAUCGGUCCUUCUUGCUGUUGAGUUCUUGUGGCGUUCGAUUGCUUCCUUUUAUCAUCAGCUUGCGAGGAUCUAGCGUUUGGUGUCUCCUCUCUCGAUUACAAGUGGAGAAUUUCAGCUCUUCGUACAAAAGAAUGAAGAGGACAGCAUACUACAAUGCUGUACCUCAGGUGCAGGAUCAGUGGCCUAUCAAGAAAGCUCUGACAUUUUCUGAUGUUGAUAUCACCCAUCCUUUCCUGACAUUGUCCCGACAACAAGUUGAAACUCAUAUUGUCGUGUACAUGACACCUCAACAGCAGGAGCAUUUAAGAGCUGAAGGUCAAGUGGGUUUUAAUGCUCAGGAUGAUGAUACUGGUGAAAUGUCUGUGAUGAAGCUGAAGUGGCGUGGUAGCUAUUAUAAUCUCAUUGGCAAAUGGGGAAAAGUUGUCCGUGGAAAGGGACUUGAAGUUGGGCAGGAAAUUAAAUUAAGAUGGUUUAAUGGUUGCUUACACUUCUCUGUUCCGCAACAGCAGAUUGUUGCAGUACCACCAAUCAGAAUGGUCGCAGCACCCCUGAUACAGGACCACUGGCCUAUUAGGAAGGUCUUGACAUCAUCUGAUGUUGAUCCUAAUCAUCCUUUUCUCCCUUUGCCUCGUAAAUCUGUUGAAGAGCAUAUUCUUGUUCACUGGGUACCCCAAGAAAGGGAAAGACUGAGAAAGGAAGAGCAGGUCUCUAUAAAUGCUCGAGAUUAUGAUACAGGUGAUACUCAUGGGAUGAAAUUGAAGUGGCGAGGGAAUUAUUAUAACUUAAUUGGGAAAUGGGGGAAUAUAAUUAGACUUAAGGGACUUGGUGUUGGACAAGAGAUCAGGAUACGGUGGACAAAUAAUUGUUUAUACUUCUCAGUUCCAGAGGAACGUUAUGUCGCUACAGCAUCUGGACAUGAUAACUGGCCGAUCAAGAAAGCUCUCACAUUGUCGGAUGUGGAUACAAAUCAUCCAUUCCUUACUUUGCCAGGCAAAGCAGUGGAAGAUCAUAUUCUCUUUUACUGGACGCACCAAGCUAGGGAGCAGUUGAGGAAUGAGCAUCAAGUUGGUAUCAAUGCUCGGGAUGAUGAUACAGGCGAUUUGUUUGUGAUGAAGUUGAAAUGGCGUGGGAGUUACUACAAUCUGAUUGGUAAAUGGGGCAAAAUCAUCCGAGAGAAGAGACUCCAUGUAGGGAGAGAGAUCAGAGUACGCUGGGACAAUGGAUGCUUGGUCUUCUCAGUCCCUCAAUGAAAGAGUCCUUUCUAUGUAGAUUUAGUUGGCUUGACAGAACGUGCCACAUUUUUUGUCUAGGCUGCUAAUGACUGGUGCAAUAUUUUGACAGGAAGUUACAGAUUCAGCAGGUUAUUUUAAGAUUGAGAGGGCAUAGCUUUUAUUCCUAGGUGGCGUUUUGCUGGAGAUAUGGUGACUCUGUCCGAUUAUGUGGUUGAAUACACACUGUUGUUCUUAGGAAGUGGAUCUCAGUCUGCUGAGAAUAUAAUUUUUGCUGUACAUUAGAUACUGUAGUCAGUGGGAAUUCCAGACAGAUCAGCUGUAGCUUUGGAAGUGCAUUAUGAGCUUAUAGUAUUAGUGUAAUACCAACAUUCCCUGGCAUUUUCUACUGUGGCUCAUGAUCCUUGAUAUGAUUACUUGGUCCGACCUAUGUGAUAUCUUCUAUAUUAUUGCCUCUUUCAGCAACAAGGUAGAGGGUGAGCAAGUAGAUUUAUGACUGAUUUGAGACUUGUGUAUUUGUGUACAUAUUUGACAUGAAGGAAUUUUAGGUUUGUUGUUAUGUAAAGUUCCAUUAUACAUGCAAGAGCUGUUCUGACAGAAAAAACCUGUUAGUAAUAGUCUCGCACGUUGCAGCCAAGGAUACAGUAUCAGGUAUAACAUUGAAUAUAUAUAUACCUUGUUCUUCC